rnacentral:rRNA from 1 species
ACUCCUACGGGAGGCAGCAGUGGGGAAUUGUUCGCAAUGGGCGCAAGCCUGACGACGCAACGCCGCGUGGAGGAUGAAGACCUUCGGGUCGUAAACUCCUUUCGAUCGAGACGAAUGGUCUCCGGGUGAACAAUCUGGAGAAGUGACGGUACCGAGAGAAGAAGCCCCGGCUAACUCCGUGCCAGCAGCCGCGGUAAUACGGGGGGGGCAAGCGUUGUUCGGAAUUACUGGGCGUAAAGGGCUCGUAGGUGGCCAACUAAGUCAGACGUGAAAUCCCUCGGCUUAACCGGGGAACUGCGUCUGAUACUGGAUGGCAUGAGUUCGGGAGAGGGAUGCGGAAUUCCAGGUGUAGCGGUGAAAUGCGUAGAGAUC